rnacentral:rRNA from 1 species
UACGAAGGGGGCUAGCGUUGUUCGGAAUUACUGGGCGUAAAGGGCGCGUAGGCGGCUUCGAUCGUCGGGUGUGAAAUGCCUGGGCUCAACCCAGGAAUUGCACUCGAAACUCCGAGGCUUGAGUGUGGGAGAGGUUGGUGGAAUUCCCAGUGUAGAGGUGAAAUUCGUAGAUAUUGGGAAGAACACCGGUGGCGAAGGCGGCCGACUGGGCCGACCCUGACGCUGAGGCGCGAAGGCGUGGGGAGCGAACGGG